GGAUAACAUACCGAAAGGUAUGCUAAUACGGGAUAAUAUAUUUGAGAGGCAUCUCUUAAAUAUCAAAGGUGAGCCAGUACAGGAUGGACCCGCGUCUGAUUAGCUAGUUGGUAAGGUAACGGCUUACCAAGGCGACGAUCAGUAGCCGACCUGAGAGGGUGAUCGGCCACAUUGGAACUGAGACACGGUCCAAACUCCUACGGGAGGCAGCAGUGGGGAAUAUUGCACAAUGGGCGAAAGCCUGAUGCAGCAACGCCGCGUGAGUGAUGAAGGCCUUCGGGUCGUAAAACUCUGUCCUCAAGGAAGAUAAUGACGGUACUUGAGGAGGAAGCCCCGGCUAACUACGUGCCAGCAGCCGCGGUAAUACGUAGGGGGCUAGCGUUAUCCGGAUUUACUGGGCGUAAAGGGUGCGUAGGCGGUCUUUCAAGUCAGGAGUGAAAGGCUACGGCUCAACCGUAGUAAGCUCUUGAAACUGGGAGACUUGAGUGCAGGAGAGGAGAGUGGAAUUCCUAGUGUAGCGGUGAAAUGCGUAGAUAUUAGGAGGAACACCAGUUGCGAAGGCGGCUCUCUGGACUGUAACUGACGCUGAGGCACGAAAGCGUGGGGAGCAAACAGGAUUAGAUACCCUGGUAGUCCACGCUGUAAACGAUGAGUACUAGGUGUCGGGGGUUACCCCCCUCGGUGCCGCAG
rnacentral:rRNA from 1 species